GUUUCCUUAUUAAGAGAGAAUUUCCGUAUUCUUCCAGAAGGGGAAAUUCUAGGCCAUUAGAAAACCCUGACCGCAACAAUAUAACACACAAUCCGUGAGAACAUGAUCAGGACUAAUGAUGUCAACCGUACUCGAACGAUCCCAGUAUGAGUGAGAAAGUCAUUGCAGUGACCUGAACAACGGGAGGAACAUAAGUUGCUGCUUUGCUGACACAGAAAAUUGUGCGUACCUGUAAGGCUCUGCCAGUGGGCAAUAGCAUGUUGUCCCAGGCAUUCUCCAAGCACAAUAGAACAAUUGUUCCCAGAAACUGAAAAGGAAGAUUGGAGCAGUGGGGUGAGUAAAAGUAUUGCAAAAGAACCCACAGUGCCACAGAAAUAAAACUGAUACUUAAACCCUCA